rnacentral:lncRNA from 1 species
GAUCACUAUUCUUUUACCUCAGUCUCACAGGAAAAUAGAGCGACUUCACAUAGCAGAAAGGCUGGGCCAGUGGAGUCCUCAGUAGCCCCUUGCUCUCAUGAGCAGCAGGCCCUCAAACCGGAUGAAUCUUUGGGGCCAGUACUGAGCCAGAAGCCUAAGGAGCUCCAAAGAACAACCUAAGCUAGUACUAAUGGUGGUCUUCUUGUAAUGUGAUUUGAACAAUCACCUCUUCUGCCUUGUGCUGUUUAUCUGGGGGGAGUGUGGUUUCUUCGCGGCCAUUGCUGUGGUUGUUUGUGUUAUCCAAGAGCCAGAGGUUUGGCCUGUGUUGGCUUUCAUAAUUGAGGAAUAAGAAACCAGAAAACAGGAGAGAAAUGUAAUUUCUGUAUACUCUCAGAAAAUGGAACCCUGGAAACAAAUUCAGGAGUAGAAUCAAUGCAACACAAAGAGAAGGUAUUGAGUUCCUCGGUAUUUGACUAGAUUUUCCCUAGAGAAAAGUCUGGGCAGGCUGAUUAUUUGGAGACACUCAUAUGUAUGUGUACUCUUGCAGGGUUCCAACAUAAUAGUAACAGCCUUUUGCAUUAUGAUAUACAAUAUAUUUCAUAAGUAGUCUGUACACUUCUGAAUAUAUUUUCAUAUUACAUUCUGUAUGUUAAAAAAAAUGUGUAUUAACCAAUUAAAGGAGCCUUGAUGAUAUAAAUCUUCCCAUCAGUUAACUGGUCCAUUUCAUCUGGGGACUUAGAAGAAGUCCCCAACAGGGACAGGAACCACAGUGCCUGGCAUACUAGGCAAUGAUAAAGCCCUAUUGAUUGAUUUGAAGGUAAACUGCUAUAAAAUGUGGUAUGAAACUCUGUAUUUGCUUACAAGUUAUGUGGAGAAAGGGUCUUCAAAGGAUCCCUCGGCCUGAAGCACAUCUACUGAGGGCUCAUUAAGUCCCUGACACUGUUUGAACGUUUCACAUCCUGGCUUCACUUUAUCUCCUUGGACACCUGUAAGGGAGCUAUUAUGAUGGCCUGAGUCUCGCACACAGGGAAACUGAGGCCUAUAGAAGUUACAUCACAGACCCAGGGCCUGCACAGCUAGCAGGUGGCAGCCUGGCACCAGAAGCCCACCCUCAGCCACCUGUCUGUGCCGUGGGACUUGGCCUGGUGCUGUCUUGGACAAUCACUGGGCAGCCCAAGCACCAGGAUCAGACCCUGCCUCCUAAGUCUCUGGGUGUCACGGGGUGUCCUCCUGUAGCUCACUAAUUACUGAGCUAAGACUGAUGAAAAAGAUUACUAUAACACCCAUAAAAAUCAUGACAUAUGAGGACAUUUUGACCCAUAAAAUAAACAGUUAUUGAAUUCAUGCCAAUGUUUGUAUAAUUCCACAGUUCUUCCACUCAUGCUUCCUCUUAGGUGUCCACAAUGAGGAUUGGAAAGAAAACACAACCGAGUUCCUGUGCUUACCCCUUUACUGAGAUAGGGUCUGAGGACAGGACUAAAAGUCCAAAUAACAAUAUAAGAACAGCAACAAAGCACUCUCACCAUAUUUCAGACAAUUUUAUAUACAGUCUCAUUGUAUCUUCACAAUCCUUAGAAGGAAGUGUUCCUAUCUUUUUUCUAUAGAUCGGAGAGAAACAGAGAGACUCACAGAGGACAGAUAAUUAUUCAAAUCACCCAGCUGGGUUCACAGCCUGGCCUCAUUAUUUACUGUCUCUGGGACCUUGAGGAAAACUGUCAUUCUGCCCUAUAUAUCGAACUGCCUCUCGCGGUGCUACUACUACCUAGCACACCCAGGCUGAUAACGAGGGAAACCGAGAUGUGGGUAGGAUGCCUUCAAUACCUCCUGUUAGUCCAAACCUGGCUCUUUUCCCUUCUUUCAAUGCCCCCAUUUCUCCCAGGUUCUCAGGGGUCUCCUCCUAUCCGGGUUCUCCUUAGAAGGCAGGAAAAUGCUACUGCCCUCCCCGGAUAACUCACCUCAUAAAAUGGGUCACAUAGGGCCUAGGCAUGAUGCUGGAUGCAGGUGGACAAACAUGAAUAGGAAGCUGGCCCUUGCAAAGAAUACACAGUCCCGCUGGGGAAAGCAGCAGGGAUGUUAUUAUCGUAGGAUGAGGGAUAGGUAGGACAAGAAAUCCCAUACAUGCUAGUCAAUGUCCCCAUUCACACACACCUCCUACACCAGCCCUAAGCAACCACUGCUCUACCUUCUGUAUCCAUAGACUGGCCUAUUCUGGACACUUACAUAGAUAGAAUCAUAUAAUAUGUGGUCUUUUGUGUGGCAUCUUUCACUUAACAUAAUGUUUUCAAGGUUCACCUGUGUCGUAGCAUGUAUCAGCACUUCACGCCGUCUUAUUGCUGAAUAACAUUCCAUUGUAUGGAUAUAUAACAUUUUGUUUUUCCCAUCAUCAGCUGACCAACAGUUGAGUAGGUUUCCACCUUUUGGCUAUUAUGAACAUUCAUGUACAGGUUUUUGGGUGGACACAGGUUUUAAAUUCUGAAAAUAUGCCUAGGAGUAGAAUUUUGGGGGUAUCUGACAAUUCUAUGUUUAACCUUUUGAAGAAAUACAUGUUCAUUUCCAAAGCAGUUGUGCCAUUUCCCAUCCUCCUCCCCACCCCCCCCCCACCCUCAGCAAUGUAUGGGGAGUUCUAAUCUCUCCAUAUCCUCACCAAUGCUUGUUAUUGCCUGUCUUUUUUAUUCUAGACUUUCUGGUAGGUCUCAAGUGCUAUCUAUCUCAUUGUUUUGAUUUGCAUUUACAAAUGAGUGAUGAAGUUUAAUUUUAGACACUUUGAAUGUAAGACAUCUAGAAAACUUCCGGGAAUGCAGCUUUAAGUUUGGUAGAAAGUCUAAAUUGAGGAGAGAUGUUGUAUUUACUCUUGGAAGUCAUCAGUGCAAUAAUGUAAAAGAAAGCAUUUUUAUUUGUGGGAUUCAGGCACUGUAGUAUUAGGUGGAAACUAUCUGGGAUAUGGGAUUUUCCCAAGACUUACAAAUGGUACCACAAUGGGUAACUACUUACUCUACUCACACCCAAGACUAGUCUUGGCUAAACAAACUAGGCUUUUCCUGUUUUGUGUUAGGUUUAGAGGCUUUCUGAUGGUGGGGGCAGGCUGCAUGCCUAGGGGUUAAAAGCUCAGCUUAUGGGAUCUAAAUCCAGACUUACACAUCACAUAGCUGCAUGACUGAGAGACAUUUUACUUCACCUCCCUAAGACUGUUUCCUUUGCUGUAACUGAGGAAUACACAUCUGUACCUACAUCCUAAGGCCACUGUGAGGAAUAAAAAAAAAAAAAAAAAUGGAACAGUGGCAUGGAGCACCUGGGGGGCUCAGCUAGUUAAGUGUCUGCCUUUAGCUCGGGUCAUGAUACCAGGGUCCUGGGAUUGAGCCCCGUAUUGGACUCCCUGCUCAGCGCAGAGCCUGUUUUUCCUCUACACUUCUCCCCUGCUUG